rnacentral:tRNA from 1 species
GCCUGGAUGGCUAAGUCAGUAGAGCAUUAGACAUUUAAUCUGAUGGUCCAGGGUUCAUGUCCCCAUUCAGGUA